AUCGCUUCUCGGCCUUUUGGCUAAGAUCAAGUGUAGAAUGAUCAGAAACCAAGGACUUAGAUUCCAUUUCACAUUUAAACAUGAAAAUACUUUUGUAGUUUCAGCGGGACCCGAUUUCCC
ensembl:snRNA LOC120095795 U2 spliceosomal RNA